UACGUAGGGUGCGAGCGUUGUCCGGAAUUAUUGGGCGUAAAGAGCUCGUAGGCGGUGUGUCACGUCGGCUGUGAAAACCCGCGGCUCAACCUCGGGCCUGCAGUCGAUACGGGCAGACUAGAGUGCGGUAGGGGAGACUGGAAUUCCUGGUGUAGCGGUGAAAUGCGCAGAUAUCAGGAGGAACACCGGUGGCGAAGGCGGGUCUCUGGGCCGUAACUGACGCUGAAGUGCGAAAGCUAGGGGAGCGAACGGG
rnacentral:rRNA from 1 species